ensembl:lncRNA
UUCGGGUCUUUUUAGUUAAAGUUAACAAAAUAGCAAGUACACUUUUCAUGUUCUCUUUUAACAUCAGGUAUACUCACCCUUAUAAUAGCAACCUUGCGAGCACACUGUAUACCCCAAAAGCUCUCUCCCCAGCAUAUCCUCUACCAAUUUUGUAUGCAACAUGUAUAUACCAUGAUAUGUUUGUGUGUAUUAUGUACAUUUACCACAUGUAUGCUAGCAUGCUCAUCCUGAUACGUGAUUUAUUCUGGCAUGUUCCUGAUGGUUUCCCCUCCCCUUCUGCCACAAGCAGAAUGACAAUUGUAAUGGUGAAGUAGCACCAGCAGGCCUCAGCUGAAGCCCGUUUGUCAAUUAAGCAGUGAACCCCUUGAGCCAAUAAAAGCUCAGUUCUGCUUUUUUUUUUUUUUUUUUUUUUAAGUUUUUGUGAGAGCUGUGACAUAUACCAAGAUGGUCGGGUAAGUGUUUUGAUUUGUAAUAAGUGAUUAACUAAAUUAUAUUUGGUUUCAUGUCAAUGAGCGUUUCCUUUUGUGCUUGCAGGUUUUCACUUUACCUUUUGCUGGUGGUUGCUGUCUGCUGUCAGGCCUAUCGAGUUGGUAUGUAUCUGUUUGGUAUCUCUUAAGAAACGAGUUUGAGCAAAGCAAAAAUGUUAACUGGAACUUGUACUUUUUCUCGAUUAUCUAGCUAGGAAAUUUCGGCCAAGAUACCAUCUAAGGAGUCGGUGGCUUAGGUCACAUGGCGGCCCUGAUUCUGCUACAGAAGACUUUAGCCCAACCCAAAGUGAGGAAGCCCCAAGUCAUUAUGCACCUGUUGAGGAAUAUCUCCCGGAAAGCCAAAAGAGUAUGCAGCAGGCGCAGACAAACGAGAUGAAGCUUUCCCAGGCCCCAGCUCCAGUGUGGGAGAAUCAAGUGAAGCCCUCACUCCCUGCCCAGACAAGCCGGGAGUGGGCUCCUGCUGAUGGUCCAUCAGGGUCAACCCCUGAACGCUUCGUCACGAUCACUACGCCGUCAGGUUUUCGAACUCGCUACAUAGUGAAGUCUUUCAACCGUUAUGCGGUUGGGAUUUUGGAGUUUUCCCAGACCACCUACAUCCCCCUUGGACGUGCCUUCCCCUGGAUUCCUGGUACAGCUCCUGUUCCUACCUCUCCGCAUGAAGCCCAAACUGAAGAGCUCCUCUACGGAAGGUAGUUCAAGGUUCUUUUCAUUUUUUUUUUUUUUAUGAAGGGUUGGCAUAAGUUUUGAGUGGUUCAACUUCCUUCUCCCUACAGGAAGGCUUAGGAUUUGAGGAGUGGACAUUUCUGUGCCAUGGAUGUCUGUCUUCAUAUUUGAGUGGAUUAAAUUAACUUUGCCCUGGUUACUGAUGUAAAUGCUGUGUAUUUAUUUAUUUAUUUAUUUAUUUAUUUUCCCCUCCCAGGCUCAUCUGGAUGUCUAGCUUUCACAGUAAAUUUUGGCUUAAUAAAGGUUUCCUUUAUCCUGUACAUUGCUGUUGUCUCCUCAAAUUGAAUCUCUCAAAUAAUUUACCUGGACCUUUUUGUUAAGUAAGUGUGUGUGUGUGUGUGUGUGUGUGUGUGUCUUUAAAUCAGAAGAUAUUGGCCAGUCAUUAUGGGCCAUCACUUUUGAAAUCAAAUUUGAUUGAUGUGCAACUUUGAAACAGUGUGACUAAUCAAAUCCCAGUGAGACUUGCCUUUCAUGUUACAGAUUCACUCC